GGACCAUGUCUGAACAUGCAGAAUCUUGAGGAGAAUCCACCCUCAACAUACAGGAUUCUGAAGACUAUCCACCUUCAAGAGCACCAUCAUUUUCUAUAGUUUCACAGUUAUCUGCCAAUGAUAGUGUUUCCGUCACAUCAUGCAUGUCACAUAGCCACAAUAUACCCACCUGUAGCAAAAAGAAAAAAAAUCUCCAUCAUCCAGAAACAGCCAUAGAUAAGUUUGUGAUAAGAACCAGCAGAUUACAAAAAGAA